rnacentral:misc_RNA from 1 species
AACGCACGAGACCUGCGGACCUGCGGAAGGAUCAUCAAAAAAAGAGAAGGGUGUGAAAGUUUUCUUUCACCUCUCUCUCCUUUUUUAUUAAUUUUUUCUUUCUUUCCCCCUUUUUCUAUUAUACUCCCAGGAGUUGUAAUUAGAGAAAAAGGGGUGAGAAAAGAAACUUGUCGACUUCUUGUUGUCCCCUUUUAGGAGAGUUUCUUUUAAAAAGGGGGGAGACCCUUUUCCCUCUCCAAC